CCCACAGCUUGAUGAAACACUUUGCUGGAAAAAUACAGAUCGCCCUGCAAGACAGAAGACAUUUGAAUUAUUUGAUUUUCCUGCUCCAAAAUAUCAACUGGUGGAUUUGUCUUCACUUCUGGAAUUAAUUGCUAUUUUCAUAACCAAUGGAUGUGCUAAGGUGAUUUUUCUGGGCCCAAGAUGGAAAAACUGGGAAACAGAGGCUGGACUUCAUGGAUGGAUGGAAUUAUUAUCGAUGAAUACAGGAUAUAGAGCCAGUUUGGAUCACUGUAGAAUGAUGUUCCUACUCUUCUUUGUUUUGGCCUGAUUAAUCUGGAUGGAAACCAGCCACAUCCCAUGUUUUUCAUUGGUAACAAAGAGCUAAACUUUGCCACUGAAUUCUGCUACCUAGGCAGAGCACUAUUCAAAGAUGAAAGAUAUAUGAAGAACUGGAAAACAAAAUCAAGGAAACAAGUAUGUCUUCACAGAAUGAAAUGACAAAUGGAGCAAUAAGCAUCAUACCAAACAAAAGACCUAAACAGUUUGAAGAGUAAUGCACAUCUCCGAGAUUGUUAGACGUGGGACUUACCAAAGAAACCACAACUGGAUUCUGGAGCACUUUCAUCAGCUAUGAGUCAUGCUUAAUAUCUCAUGGCAAGACGGGACCACCAACAGUGAGAGAUCUUGGAAUGUAAUCAGUUUACCACCAUUGAGAUGAUAUUCCCUGCAACAAAACUUUGAUGCCUGGGACUUAUGGGAGAGUGGAUGAUAGAUAGCAGGAUAACCAAGUUUUUCCGUAUGGCAAAUUGAAAUGGGGCAUAUACAAGCAGGGAGGGAAAAACACAGAUUUUUUAAAGGUACAGUAAGGCACAGUCUAAAAUAAUAUGUUUAAGUAAUGGACUGUCAAAAGGCAACUAAGUCUCUUAUGGGCAGGGAAAGGUCACUUUGUUUUGUACUCUCCAAGUGCCUGGUACAGUACAUUACACCUAGUGGAUAUGCAAUAAAUAUUAUUACUCCUACCACAACUGCAAGCAGACAACAACCUGGAAAGGGGCAGUGUCAUCACGAAAUCAAUUAAUCAAUAAAUGGUUUUUAUUGAGAACUUACAGUGUGCAGAACACUAUACUAAACACUUGGGAGAGCAUACUACAACAGAGUUGGUAGACCUGUUCCCUGUCCUCAAGGAGUAAAAUCAUGAUUCUAAGUGACAGGUUUGAAAAUGAUAACUAGCACUAAAAAUGACAAACUCAUUACCCUACCAAAGGACUAUCUUAACAUGAAUCCACAGUAGAACUGGCAGUUGCAUAUAUCUGCUCACAUGAAUAGUAUUUCACUUUUAGUAACAUCAUGAAGAUGAUGCUCUUUCUCUACAUAUAUUAAAGUUAAUUUGUGUUUUUCUGAAACCCUAAUGCAUAAGCCUCUAGACUGUAAGCUUGUUGUGGGCAGGGAAUGUAUGUAUUAAUGUUGUAUUGUAC